GACAGAGGGUGCAAACGUUGUUCGGAAUUACUGGGCGUAAAGCGCGUGUAGGCUGCUCUGCAAGUCGGAUGUGAAAGCCCUGGGCUCAACCUAGGAAGUGCACUCGAAACUGCAGAGCUUGAGUCUUGGAGAGGAAGGCGGAAUUCUCGGUGUAGAGGUGAAAUUCGUAGAUAUCGAGAGGAACACCGGUGGCGAAGGCGGCCUUCUGGACAGUGACUGACGCUGAGACGCGAAAGCGUGGGGAGCAAACAGG
rnacentral:rRNA from 1 species